AGAGUUUGAUCCUGGCUCAGGACGAACGCUGGCGGCGUGCUUAACACAUGCAAGUCGAACGGACGGACUCGAUAGCUUGCUAUUGGGAAAGUUAGUGGCAAACGGGUGAGUAACGCGUAGGCAACCUGCCCUUCAGAUGGGGACAACACUUCGAAAGAGGUGCUAAUACCGAAUGACGUAUCUAUUCCGCAUGGAGAGGAUACCAAAGGCCGGGCAACCGGUCACUGAAGGAUGGGCCUGCGUCUGAUUAGCUAGUUGGUGGGGUAACGGCCCACCAAGGCGACGAUCAGUAGCCGGUCUGAGAGGAUGAACGGCCACAUUGGGACUGAGACACGGCCCAAACUCCUACGGGAGGCAGCAGUGGGGAAUCUUCCGCAAUGGGCGCAAGCCUGACGGAGCAACGCCGCGUGAGUGAAGAAGGUUUUCGGAUCGUAAAGCUCUGUUGAGAGGGACGAGAGGCAAGGCUAGGAAAUGAGCUUUGUAGGACGGUACCUUUCGAGGAAGCCACGGCUAACUACGUGCCAGCAGCCGCGGUAAUACGUAGGUGGCGAGCGUUGUCCGGAAUUAUUGGGCGUAAAGGGAGCGCAGGUGGGAAAGUAAGUCAGUCUUAAAAGUGCGGGGCUCAACCCCGUGAGGGGAUUGAAACUACUUUUCUUGAGUGCAGGAGAGGAAAGCGGAAUUCCUAGUGUAGCGGUGAAAUGCGUAGAUAUUAGGAGGAACACCAGUGGCGAAGGCGGCUUUCUGGACUGUAACUGACACUGAGGCUCGAAAGCCAGGGGAGCGAACGGGAUUAGAUACCCCGGUAGUCCUGGCCGUAAACGAUGGAUACUAGGUGUAGGAGGUAUCGACCCCUUCUGUGCCGGAGUUAACGCAAUAAGUAUCCCGCCUGGGGAGUACGGUCGCAAGACUGAAACUCAAAGGAAUUGACGGGGGCCCGCACAAGCGGUGGA
rnacentral:rRNA from 1 species